CCCUUAGAUGUUCUGGGCAGCACGCGCGCUACAAUGGUCUUCGCAAACGGAUGCAUUCUCGAAGGAGAAUGCCAAUCCUGGAAUCUAUGCCUUGGUCGGGACAGUUGCUUGCAAUUUUUCGACUCGAACCAGGAAUUCCUUGUAAUCGUGAUUCAUCACAUCACGAUGAAUACGUCCCUGCCCUUUGUACACACCGCCCGUCGCUCCUACCGAUCGAAGAGUUAGGUGAAUUGUUUUGAUCGAUAAGAUUUGACUAUGGUCAACUCUCGUUGUGAAAUUCUGUGAAUCUGACUGUUUAGAGGAAGGAAAAGUCGUAACA
rnacentral:rRNA from 1 species